CAGAAGGCAUUCCUUUUGUCUUGCUUGCCAUCCUAUUACACUUACAUUGCGAGAUCUGUCCGGAGGGUGCCUUAUGGCCUAAAUGUUUGUUCAUGCACAUCAGGUUUGCUCUGUUGUAAUCAUUAACUUGUUUUUUUUGUUUCAGAAUUUCAGUCUCAGGUACUCCGGCUGCUAAACAUUGUGAGGCUGACUGCACAGGAAAUUUUGAGCAAUCUGGAUGCCUGUAUGGCUCAAGGCAAGGUGACCUCUGCACCCGCUCUACUAGUGCAGCAGCCGUUUGAGACGGUGGAUGCGCUGCUGAACUUUGAAGCAUCACUUGGUCCAGAGGAUGUUAAUGUCUUGGUGAGCUGAAAUAUCUUCUAGCCGCAAUGCCACUCACGUGUACGCAGUCUCCUUUAAGAAAAUAUGCCACCGGUCGACUAAGAUCACUUCGUGCAAAAUUCCUUGAAUGAUUAUUUGUGGGCUUUUCAGUUAUUUGGUUUCAUGUUCACAUUCUUUGAUGGCAUGAUUUUCUUCGAGGGAACGUAAUGUGCAAACAUGCGCAUUAUCUGCCUUGUUAGAAAUGGCACUGGGGCACGUGUUGCCUAUUUUAUUAUUUUAUGUACACCUGUACAUCUACUUUCUCUGCAGAGUGUACAUUGAAAGUGCAGAACUCUUACGUGUGUGAAAAUGAUUUAGUGUUAGAAUAUUGAACCUGGUUGGCUUCCUUCUGUUUUUUCAGAUCAACGAACUUGUGCAACUUGGGGGCAGAAACCCAAAUGCGGCAGUUAAGCGUAUGCUUGCUUACCUCUUUGCCGAUAAGCUGGCUGCUGAAUACUCGUGGCAUGGGAAGAAAGGAAAAAGGAAGUUCUCUGAUCUUCGACUGUGUCAGCAUUUGUUUACUGCUGUCAGGAAGCGCUUCCCACAAAGUACACGAGAUGAUGUCGAGUCAACCACUAAAUCAUGGCUUCGUCAUGCUCCUGAGAGGACUAAUGGAAGAGAUGGGGCCAGAGAUACGUGAAGGGUUGUUGGAUUGCAGAAGUACGACCGUCACAGGAAGUCGUGUUGUGUGCUGAAGACUUGCAUGCUGAAGUUGCAUGCCAGACCCAUGAACACCCACAUACAAGUGCCUUCAAGUUCCACAAGUUCAAGCACCUGAUAAUUUAUUGUAUUCAAAUGCUAUGAGUAGCAUUCUAGUCUCCCAAAGUCUGUUCUAAUUUUUUAAACAUACAGAGCUGUACUUCCUUUAUGUGUAGCUUUGUUCUGCUUACAAGACUUAUUUUAAGAUUGUAUUUUUAUCUCUUCAGUUGCAUUUGGGGGCCAUGACGAAUGU